AAAUAAGGACAUGACACAUGCAAAUCAAACGUUUAUUAAUCAAAUGAUGAAAUAAAUAUGAGGUGUACACGUGAGUAAUUAUAUGGAAUUAUGAACUAUAAGAUAAGUUAAAUGCUUAAUAAAAAAUAUAUAAAAAUAUAUAGUAAAAAAAUGAAUAAAAAUCCUUUUAUUUGCUUAUAGUCAAGCCAAUAAUGGUUUAGGUAGUAGGUAGAGUAAAAGUUUACCUAGCCAACGAUCCAUAGUCGAUAAUGAAAGUUAUAACGAUCACGUUGACUCUGAAACAUAGUCAAU
rnacentral:rRNA from 1 species